rnacentral:lncRNA from 1 species
GCCAUCCAGACGUACAACUCUCUGCUACCUCUCCAGGACCAGGUCUGCCUCUGUGCUGCCAAGCUUCCUGUCAUGAUGGUAAUGGACUAAACCUCUAAACUGGACGAACAGUUUGAGAGAAGAAAACUUCAAGUUGAAAAUACCAAACUGAAGAAAGUGAGCUGCAAGCAGAGUUCAAAGCAGAGCCGCCAAUGCCAUCGCCAGCUGGCUCUGCCCCGGAGAUGAUCGACUCGCAAGAUUCUCUUCAUGGAGAAGUGGGUGUCAGAAAAGCUGCUCCAAGAAUAGUUGCCGCCGGGCUGGUGAACGGCGUUCCCACGGACCAGAUGCAAAGUCAGAUGAUGGCCUUAGACUCUUUUCUUGAAGAGGCUGGUGUGGAGAUAAAUCCCCAAAAGACCUUAAGCAAAUCAACCUCACCUGCAUGCUAGGAACGAGCCAGCGUGUGGCCCCACGCAAGGAAAGGGGCUCCUUAGAAGUCAGAAGAGCAGGGGAUUGGCAGGGCUCGAACCAUGACCAGGAGCAGACUGGAAAGGAAGAGAUACUUCAGAAGGGAAGUGUUUUGGAGAGAAAAAUCAAUGAUGAUUUAAAAAAAAAAACAACAAAAAAACCGUAUUUUGCACAGAUAAAAGAAACAGAAACUCCCUGUAGAGAAUCAGGCCUGCUUGGAAAAAUUUAUACCAAAAGUUUUGUAAAAAAUCCCAGCUUCAGAACAUCAUACACACUUUGUACUUGUUAA